AGUGAACGCUGGCGGUAGGCCUAACACAUGCAAGUCGAACGGCAGCACAGUAAGAGCUUGCUCUUACGGGUGGCGAGUGGCGGACGGGUGAGGAAUACAUCGGACUCUACUUUUUCGUGGGGGAUAACGUAGGGAAACUUACGCUAAUACCGCAUACGACCUACGGGUGAAAGCAGGGGAUCUUCGGACCUUGCGCGAGUGAAUGAGCCGAUGUCGGAUUAGCUAGUUGGCGGGGUAAAGGCUCACCAAGGCGACGAUCCGUAGCUGGUCUGAGAGGAUGAUCAGCCACACUGGAACUGAGCCACGGUCCAGACUCCUACGGGAGGCAGCAGUGGCGAAUAUUGGACAGUGGGCGCAAGCCUGAUCCAGCCAUACCGCGUGGGUGACGAAGGCCUUCGGGUUGUAAAGCCCUUUUGUUGGGAAAGAAAAGCAGCAGGUUAAUACCCCGCUGUUCUGACGGUACCCAAAGAAUAAGCACCGGCUAACUUCGUG
rnacentral:rRNA from 1 species